UCUCCCUAAGCUCUAGUCAUGAGUUGCCAAGGCUAUGGAAGCCUUUAGGGUUCGCCGACUUUGAUCUUAUUCCGAUAGGGUCAUAGUCAAAGUUGAAGUUCUCUCCUCCCUUCAGAGAAAGGUACCUCCUUCUUUGAUGGCCCCGUUCUUUCCACUGGGAUCUCACUUGCAGAGAUCUUUCAUUUAGGUCUUUUUUUUUUUUUCCAGAGUGUCUUGGUUUUCCAUGCCUAAAAUACUCUUCAGCCAGAUCCGAAUGCCUUAAGGGCUGAUUCUGAGGCCAGAGUGCUAUUUAGGACAUUGCCAUUCUAUGAGUCCACUGUGUCUCCCACUUCCUAUGUUGGAUCGUUCUCUCCCUUUUUGAUUCUAUCAGUAUUAGCAGACACUUGUCUUGUUUGUGUGGUCCCUUUGACUCUUAAGGUCUCCACUUUUUGUUCAUAAGGGUCACCCAGAUUGGAUCAGUCACAAUAUGCAACAAUUGUAGCAGGACUUGGUUGGGGCGGGGGUGUGGUGGAUAAAGGACAUUGGGCCUUUCUACUAUAGAAAUCUGGCAAGACUGAUGUUCUGCUCAUGUUGCUAAAUUGGGCUACACGACUGGAGAGCCUGAAAGACUCCUGGGAGGAAGAUGUUCCUGGUUCUGAUCCUGAGGCUCUGGUGCUGCAGUGCUGCCUUAUGAUUUCUGAGCCACCCAGCUUCUCUUCUAGGUGCAUGAGGGUUAUUUUGUUUGUUUUCUUAAUCUCGUUUAAGUUCCAUUUCUAUCAUUUAAAUCUCAACAGUCCUCAUCAAUGUAGAUAGCUGUCAAUACAAUGAUAACAUUUGCAUAAAUAAUUUUAAGCAAACCCUCAGUUUAAGUACCCUUGUAGAUUAUAAAUCCUUUCAUGAUUAAACAUCUCUUGAUCUUGUUGCUCAUAGUAAUGGCUUCUGCAUCUUCUGGUAUGGAUUAUAUAUAAGGCUACUGAUAGGAGUGUAUGGCUAUUGGACUUUCAGAGGACCUGCUCACUUUUGAGUAAUAUUUAUAUAUGGCACCUGCUCUACUAGGCAGGAGUAGAAAUCUGUAAAUAGACACUUUAGGCAGUCAUUCCUUCCAAACCAUGCUUUACUUGUCUUGUUAAGGAAAUAAUGCACUAACAAAAGCAGAGUGCAUUUGAGGGAUUUAUUUGCUAAUGAGUAUACGUUCCUUAUAUUUAAGAGCUUUAUAGUAAAGUGGUGGAUGCUAUUUCAACAGACAAAAGUUUGCUGUUCGGUGAAACGUUCAACUGUAAAGACAAGAAUAAUAACACAAUCUUUAUAAAAUGGAGAGAAAAGCUGCAUUUCCUAACUGACCAUAGCCAUGUGUCUCAAUGGUUUUAAUAUCAUGAGAAAUGUAUUUAUGACCAGGAGAAUAUAAAUGCAUUCUUCGUAAAGUGUGUUCCCUUCUUUUAGGAUCCAAGUGGGAAGCAGAGCAGUUACUCCAUUUAAAUCUUCUUGCUAGAAUCUGAGGAGUUUUUGAAAUGCUCUUGGACUUUUUGUCUAACAUACUCAUGUGCAAGCAGUAGUGGGAAGUGGUUGAAAGCAAAAAGAUUGUGGUUUUGUUACCAGAGAAAGAAGGGUUCUUCUCUUUGUGCAAGAAAGAAUUCAGGAGUGAGACAGAGCAGGGGAAAACAACAUAGCAAGAUUUAUUAGGGUAGGGACAUCCGUAAGAACAGAUGGCACCUCUCCAGACAGAACCUGAGAGUGCCCAGUUGCUCAGACUGGGGGAGAGCUCAGACUGGGGUUGAGUGGAGAGAAUACACCUGGGCAGGCCAGGUGGGCGGCUCAGCAGAGAGGCAGAGGGCUGAGCGCGCAGUCCGGUUGAGACUGGUGUUAUUAAGGGGAUGGGUCUUGCCUUGCUGGACCUAGAUGUCAACUCCUUAGGCCUUUGUCACACACACACAAGCUCAUUUCUGACUUCCUACCUAACAGUUUCUCAGCUGAGCUCAAAAUAUUGUGACCAGUAAACAUCAGUCCCAAACUCCAUGAGCUGGUAUGGCAAAUGCAAUGUUUGGGAGAUUUUAAUUAAGCUAAUGGAAGGGUGUGGCAGCGUGGAUCACCCCAAAGGACAAAUACCUCCUCACCCUUUCCCAAAUUUUGGAUUUCUGUAUGUAGUUCACCACUUUGGGCAAUAAAUCCCAUUUCCUAACUAGUGAAACCAUAAAAUUUUAGAAUUCAUCAUGAUGUGGGACAUCAUUCGCUUAAAUAUUUUUCUAAAGAGCACACUGCAGAUUUCAACAACUGAGUGAGAAAUAGCACCUGAAUUUGCUGGUUUACAAAGAUUUCUAGUGCCAUGUGUUAGAUGAACUCCAACAGUGAAGUUGGAAUCAAUAUUGAAAUUAAGAAAAGAUUAUUUUGAGAAUGAAAUAUUCAGGUCAAAGUGAAGCCAAGUGAUCAGUGAGGAGAAAAUAAAAGUCAGAUCUGAAAAAGUUGCGUAGAGUGGGUUUUCAUUCCCAGAGAUUAUCAGUGAAUAGAUGAAAAUGCGAGUAGCUUUAGAGCAAGCACAGGUAAUAGCAGGUAUUGAGUAUGUUCUCUGCAAGACCAACCACAGUUUUCAUUCUUCUCUAGAGAAGACCAGUGGGAAUUCUUAACCUCAGAUACACAGGUAUUUUUAAGUAGCCAUCCUGCAAACAAAACAACAACAACAAAAUUUUAUCCAAUUUCAACUUAAUUAAGGGUGUGUAUCAGAUAGUGAGAAAUCCAUUGUGAUGGUUAAUAUUACAUGUUCAUAAGGUCUCUGGCCCAGAAAUACCUCACUACAUAGUGAAGGGAAAAGACAAAUAGCUUGACUUCAUCUGUCUUUUCUAAGAGGACUGUCUCCUGUGAUCCCAUGUUUGGAAUAGUUCCUAGCAUGACCAAAAAGAGAGGAAUAAACACAGCAAUAAUUUAGUGUGCUUAAUGGGAUAAAAUGAAAGGAUUAUUCACAAACAGAAAACUGGACUUUUGAGCAGAUGUUUAUUUAAAUCCAAACAGCAACUCCUACUUUUCCUGUUAUCUCCAAUUAUAUGAUGCAACAUUUUUACCAGAAGAAGCACUUUUAAAAAACAGUCUUCCAGGGAGAGAAUAAACAAUACUAUAUUUGGCUAACAGCUGCUUUUGGAAAAUAAGAUGUCAGCAAAGCUGGAUGUUGUUUAAAGAAAACUAAUUAUCCAGCUACCUUUGCCUUGUAUCAGAGUAAAUAAAGUACUUCCUGAUUUGCACUGAAAUGUUUUGUCUAGGGUUUAAAUAUUAGGUAUUAGUCAGAUAUUUUACUUCCUCCAUCAUUUUCCUUGUGGAGCAAAUGGAUUUAAAGGAGGAUUCCUGGUGUUAGAUUGUGCUGCCAGUUCCCCUUUAUGUUUCCUGGAGCGGCACAGAGCUAUUGCUUCUCUGCUUAUCCACCAUCCACUAUUUGUGUUCAGUGUAAAGAAUGUGUUUAUGGAUAAAUUAGAAUCCUGAUAUCCCAGAGACAAUACAGUGUGGUUGCAUUUGUCUAUGUUUAAUCAUGCAAAUGUCAAAUAAAAGUUGCGGGUCAUAUCUCAUUUCAUGCAUAGAAUUUGAAAUAAUGCAAAUGCCUCUAGUUUUGGAAAACUGAUUUCAAGGUUGGGCAGCUGAAUGAAAAGUGAACUGGGUUGUUCUGCUACCGUGUGGCACUGUGGCUGGUACCGAGAAAAGCUGGCAGCAGGCUGGAGCUUCCCUCAGCCACAACUGCAGGUGCCUGUGGCAAUGCCUACCUGUUUUCACAGUUACCAUUAUUAUAACUUGAAACAUUUCCAUCUUCCAAAGCAAUCUUAGCUGAGUACUCGUUUAGUGGGGCAGCAGUGUUAGUGCUGAAAGGUGAGCCUGAAAAUUGGGGAUUUUUGAGUGAUACGUAUUUAAUGUCACAAAGGUCAAACCACUCCUAUGGCACAUUUUAGGAUGAGCACUCCGUAAAAUGUUAGUGAUGAUCUCGGGAAAAGAAAAAGCCACAUUAAAGCACAAAUGUGAUAUCUUCAUAAGUACAGAUUUUGAGGAAGUAUUUCUCUAUACUUGUGGAAAAAUGUGUAGUGAAAUAUACAAGAUUUUCAAGAAUCUCACCUGUAUAAAAUCUGGUAUCUGUUUUUUUUCUUUUUUCUUUUUUUAAAGAUUUGUUUAUUUAUUUGAAAGGUAGAGUUACAGAGAAAGAGAAGAAGAGACAGAGAAAUCUUUCAUCUGCUGGUUCACUCCCCAAGUAGCCACAGGCUGCAGCCAGGAGCCAGGAGCUUCUUCCGGAUCUCCCAAGUCCUUUCUGCGGAGGAUGAGUCAAGGAGCACCCAGCUUCUGGGGUACCUUUCGUUCUUUUCUGCUGGUAAGAGUCCCCUGGCAAUCAGUGGAGAGCACAGCUUUGAGCAUCCCAGAAGACGUCACCAAUCUGAGGACUAACAACGCCUGAGAAGAAUCAAUGUGUGAGAAUAAACUGAAAAUAUGUCCAGAAACCGUUGGAGGUAGUGGUGAGUACAGUG